AUUGAACGCUGGCGGCAGGCCUAACACAUGCAAGUAGAGCGAGCGGAGGACGGGGGAGUAAUGUAUGUGAAACUGCCUGAAGGAGGAGGAAAACUACUGGAAACGGUAGCUAAUACAGCAUACCAUCGUAAGUGUCCAGAUGGGAUUGGCUAGUAGGUGGGGUAACGGCUCACCUAGGCGACGUUCCCUAGCUGGGGUGAAAGGAAGACCAGCCACACUGGAACUGAGACACGGUCCCGACUCCGACGGGAGGCAGCAGUGGGGAAGAUUGCACAAUGGGCGCAAGCCUGAUGCAGCCAUGCCGCUUGUGUGAAGAAGGCCUGCGGGUUGUAAAGCACUUUCAGCGGAGAGGCGUUACCCGCAGAAGAAGCACCGGCUAACUCCGUGCCAGCAGCCGCGGUAAUUC
rnacentral:rRNA from 1 species